AAUUUUUUUGCAUGUAUUGCUAGAAGUGAAGAAAAGGAGGAAAUAACAAAAAGAAGAUUGAAGAAAAAAAUGAUAAGCCUGCAAAAAAAGGAAGCGUGGUAUUGUGGAUUCAUCUUCCCAAAAAAAAAACCGAAUUUGAUGAUGAAAGUGAAGAAAUGUAAGAAAUAACAAAAGCAAGAUUGAAGAAAACAAAUGACAAGCUUGCACAAAAGUCGAGAGGCUCCUCGCUAAGCGUCUGAAGGUUCCUAUGGCAAGCAAAGUUGGGCUGUUAUAUUUUGGGUUGUCGAUUAUAUAUUUAUGUUUAUAGACUCUCCUAUGUAUAUAUAUAACUUAUUUUUAGUCCUCUUAGAGGCCUUUUGGAGAACUAGACGAUUACUUUAUGUAUGUUGGGAUAUUUUGGGAUAUACUUAUAUAUAUGUAUGUAUGUAUGUACAUAUUCUCCGGCCGGCCUUAGCUUCGCAGGUCGA